UACGAAGGGGGCUAGCGUUGCUCGGAGUCACUGGGCGUAAAGCGCACGUAGGCGGCUUUCUAAGUCAGGGGUGAAAUCCUGGAGCUCAACUCCAGAACUGCCUUUGAUACUGGGAAGCUCGAGUCCGGAAGAGGUGAGUGGAACUCCGAGUGUAGAGGUGAAAUUCGUAGAUAUUCGGAAGAACACCAGUGGCGAAGGCGGCUCACUGGCCCGAUACUGACGCUGAGGUGCGAAAGCGUGGGGAGCAAACAGG
rnacentral:rRNA from 1 species